UCCCGCCCUCACGAGGUUCACUUCCUGCUCCGGUGCAGCUGCCAUAUUUGUUACAGAUACAAAAAUAACAGUUUUAAAUAACAGUUUGUAUUAAAAGGUGUAUUUGCAGGUGAGCUAGCUGUCGGGUCAGAAUCAUAUCAGGCGACUUAACAUCGAGGGACUCUACAAGAGGAGAAGAUCUGUUUGUUACGCGGAGGGAUACACAAACCGCUUCACAGCCUCGGAGGGAUUCGUUCUGUUAGCAUUAUCUUAGCAGAGAGCAGUAGCCCAAAGAGAAGCCGCGAUGUCUCUGGUGGACCUGGGGAAGCGUCUGCUGGAAGCGGCUCGUAAAGGUCAGGACGAUGAGGUCAGGAACCUGAUGGCCAACGGAGCGCCGUUCACCACCGACUGGGUGAGAAUACCGUCUGUUCAACGUUACCACUAAUGUUAAAAAACUCUCACUCGUCCCCGUCUUGAGCUUGAAUCUCAGGAUCCAUGUAUCUGUG